rnacentral:rRNA from 1 species
AAGUGGAUAGUGAAACCUGGUGGCUCAACCAUUCAGACUAUUAUCCAAACUGCUAAGCUCGAGAAUGGUAGAGGUAGCUGGAAUUUCCUGUGUAGGAGUGAAAUCCGUAGAUAUAGGAGGAACACCAAUGGCGUAGGCAGGUUACUGGACCAUUUCUGACACUGAGGCACGAAAGCGUGGGGAGCGAACGGGAUUAGAUACCCCGGUAGUCCACGCCGUAAACGAUGGAUGCUA